CAUGCAAGUCGAACGGUAACAGGAGAGAGCUUGCUCUCUUGCUGACGAGUGGCGGACGGGUGAGUAAUACAUGGGAAUCUGCCCUGAGGUGGGGGAUAACCCGGGGAAACUCGGGCUAAUACCGCAUGAUCUCUUCGGAGCAAAGUGGGGGACCUUCGGGCCUCACGCCUUGGGAUGAGCCCAUGUCUGAUUAGCUAGUUGGUGGGGUAAAGGCCUACCAAGGCAACGAUCAGUAGCCGGCCUGAGAGGGUGUACGGCCACACUGGGACUGAGACACGGCCCAGACUCCUACGGGAGGCAGCAGUGGGGAAUAUUGGACAAUGGGGGCAACCCUGAUCCAGCAAUGCCGCGUGUGUGAAGAAGGCCUGCGGGUUGUAAAGCACUUUUAUCGGGGAAGAAUAGGUUGUCGUUAAUAGCGCCAACACUUGACAUUACCCGUUGAAUAAGCACCGGCUAACUCCGUGCCAGCANCCGCGGUAAUACGAGGGUGCGAGCGUUAAUCNGAAUUACCGGGCGUNNAAAGGGU
rnacentral:rRNA from 1 species